UACAGAGGUCCCAAGCGUUGUUCGGAUUCAUUGGGCGUAAAGGGUGUGUAGGUGGCGCCGUAAGUCGGGUGUGAAAUUUCGGAGCUUAACUCCGAAACUGCAUUCGAUACUGCGGUGCUUGAGGACUGGAGAGGAGACUGGAAUUCAUGGUGUAGCAGUGAAAUGCGUAGAGAUCAUGAGGAAGACCAGUGGCGAAGGCGGGUCUCUGGACAGGAACUGACGCUGAGACGCGAAAGCGUGGGUAGCAAACAGG
rnacentral:rRNA from 1 species